AUUGAACGCUGGCGGCAGGCCUAACACAUGCAAGUCGAGCGAGCGGCGGGCGGGUGAGUAAUGUCUGGGAAACUGCCUGAUGGAGGGGGAUAACUACUGGAAACGGUAGCUAAUACCGCAUACCAUCAGAUGUGCCCAGAUGGGAUUAGCUGGUAGGUGGGGUAACGGCUCACCUAGGCGACGAUCCCUAGCUGGUCUGAGAGGAUGACCAGCCAAACGGGAACUGAGCCACGGGCCAGCCUCCUACGGGAGGCAGCAGUGGGGAAUAUUGCACAAUGGUGGCAAGCCUGAUGCAGCCAUGCCGCGUGUGUGAAGAAGGCCUUCGGGUUGUAAAGCACUUUCAGCGGGGAGGCGUUACCCGCAGAAGAAGCACCGGCUAACUCCGUGCCAGCAGCCGCGGUAAUUC
rnacentral:rRNA from 1 species